GCUGUACACUAGAAAUUAACACAACAUUGUAAACCAACUAUACUUAAAAAAAAGAAAAGAAAAGGAAAGGACAACACAACUAGUUCCCACAGAGAGGAUUGUUUUGUCUCACAUCUCAGCCAAAAAAGCCCUGUGACUUGAAUGGUCCUAAAUGUGGAAGUUACAGAAGAACUGAUCUGUCCUUUCAAACAUAGGUGCCUUGAAGCUGUUUCUUCACAGAGCAAGAGGGAGGGCAGAACAUUCUUAAAGACUUAAGCAAAGACAAUGCUGGCCCUUCUAUGACCUAGAAACUGUGACAACCAAGGACCUGGAUUGAGAGGACAGCAAUGAAUAACAAAGUUGUUCUACUCAAAAAAAAAAAAAAAAGGAAAGGAAAAGAGAAGAAAAAUUCUGGCCCAGGAAAUAGUGAUUUCCAGUCAAAAAGAGAAUUAAACAGGACCGUGUUUUAAGUAUUAACGAGGAUCAUCGAGCCCUAUGCAAUGUAAAUCCAAUUUGAAAAUACCUGGGCCAAAAAGUUACUUUACUUCUAGGUUAUUUGCAACGUAAAAUCCAUUGGGUCCUCCGAAAGCCCAAGCUGAAAUGCCAAAAUAUUGGAAUUAUCUUAUGAUAUACUGUAUAAAUAAGAUUCAACUAUGGUCUUACAAGUGUUCUUAAAACAGUAUCUUCAGUGUUUUAUAUUCCUGGGAUUUUAAAGACAAUGAGAAAAGAAAGGAAAAGCUGAUGGUUCCGAAAAACAAAUAUAAAAAAUGAGUUAAUAAAGCUAAAUGUG